rnacentral:rRNA from 1 species
CUACGGGCGGCUGCAGUGAGGAAUAUUGCACAAUGGGGGGAACCCUGAUGCAGCAACGCCGCGUGGAGGAUGACGCAUUUCGGUGUGUAAACUCCUUUUAUAUGUCAAGAAAAUGACGGUAGCGUAUGAAUAAGCACCGGCUAACUCCGUGCCAGCAGCCGGCGGUAAUACGGAGGGUGCAAGCGUUACUCGGAAUCACUGGGCGUAAAGGACGCGUAGGCGGGUUGGAAAGUCAGGUGUGAAAUCCUACAGCUUAACUGUAGAACUGCACUUGAAACUUCUAAUCUAGAGUAUGGGAGGGGGAGAUGGAAUUAGUGGUGUAGGGGUAAAAUCCGUAGAUAUCACUAGGAAUACCCAAAGCGAAGGCGAUCUCCUGGAACAUUACUGACGCUAAGGCGUGAAAGCGUGGGGAGCAAACAGGAUUAGAUACCCGUGUAGUC